rnacentral:lncRNA from 1 species
GGUGAGUGAAAACCUAGAUCUGAUUUCAGGAUUUUGGGAAGAGAGAAAAGAGAGAAGAGAGUUCUCAUCUUUGUCUUCUUCCAUCACCACAUCCUCCUCUAUAUUCCAUCUUCAGAUCUGAAAGAGUCUGGGAGAUCCGAAGAGGAGUAGAUCAACCAUCGAGAAGGUCUUCGCACAAGUUAGCACUUUCAGGGAGAUCGAUCAGUGCAGCACUUCGAGUAGACCAACCAUAGAGGUCGGACAUCCUGUGUGGUUGCGAGCAACUAGCGAUACCUCAAGUCCUCAUGAUUCAGAUGCGCUGAUCUACUACCCAUACUAAGGUAUUGAAUUCUGUACUCGAUAUUAAUAUAGAUAUGAUCUAUAUAGUAGAUGUGAUCUACGGAUGCAUGUUUGAUAUGAUCAUGCAUGUAUGCAAUUUUUAUUUUCAAAUCUUGUGCAUGAUAUAUAUCAUGUUAUAGAUCCUAGGGUAGGUUUUAGAUUUGAUCUAGAAGCAUGUUUAUUAGAUUAAAGUAUUUAAUGUAAUCUAUUCCGCAUAAAAUUUUUAAAAUUGCAUGCUUGAAGCCUUACCAAUAUUCUUGCAGUCAUUCCGUACAUUAUAGAUGCCGCUAUCGAGGCAUAUGAAAUUCUACU